rnacentral:rRNA from 1 species
AACGCGAAGAACCUUACCCAGGUUUGACAUGUAGAGGACGGUAUCAGAGAUGAUGCCUCCCGCAAGGGCCUUUACACAGGUGCUGCAUGGCUGUCGUCAGCUCGUGCCGUGAGGUGUUGGGUUAAGUCCCGCAACGAGCGCAACCCUUGUCGUUAGUUGCCAACGCGUAAUGGCGGGAACUCUAACGAGACUGCCUAGGUUAACUAGGAGGAAGGUGAGGAUGAUGUCAAGUCCGCAUGGCCUUUAUAUCUGGGGUUACACACGUGCUACAAUGGUCGGUACAGAAGGUAGCAAGACCGAAAGGUGGAGCAAAUCCCUAAAGCCGAUCUCAGUUCGGAUUGGAGUCUGCAACUCGACUCCAUGAAGUUGGAAUUGCUAGUAAUGACGUGUCAGCAAUAACGUCGUGAAUACGUUCCCGGGCCUUGUACACACCGCGAGC